UCAUGUACUUCUGUGCAAAUAAUAAUAAUAGAGCCUCCACUGUAUUGAGCGCCUUUCUUGCCGCAGUCCAGCAAUUUGGGAUUCCAACAAGGGUUCGCAGUGACAAAGGAGGGGAGAAUGUUGACGUUGCUCGUUUCAUGCUUGGACAUCCACAGCGAGGACCAGAUAGAACAAGUUUCAUAACCGGACGGAGUGUUCACAAUCAGAGAAUCGAACGACUGUGGAGAGAUGUCUGGUGCUCAGUGACUGUAAACUAUUAUACAGCCUUUCAACAUCUUUACAAUUCUGGUGUGUUAUAAAUGUAGACGACGAGCUAGACCUCAUUUGUCUACAUUAUGUGAUGCUUCCCAAAAUUAACGAACAUUUACAGCUGUUUAAGAAAGCUUGGGAUCAUCAUCGCCUUUCUACAGAGCACGGAAAGUCCCCCCAGCAGUUGUGGAUUGAAGGACAGAUUAUGGGGGCGCAUCCUAUCACUGAACCUGUUUGUGAACAGAGAACUAUGGAGGAUUAUGGCAUUGACUGGGAAGGACUAACACCUGUUGAUCACGAAGCUGCAGUUGAUGUUCCAGAAAAUCCCAUGCCUCUACAAAACCGAGUAUUUGAACAUCUCCGUGAGAGAAUAGAUCCUCUUCGCCCUAGUACAUGCUUUGGGAUGGAUAUACUAGUGGAAACCUUGGAAAGUGCUCAACGAAUAUUCCAUGAUGUGAGGGACCGGGUCGGUCAAGCAUGAGGACACAGAAAGAAUUUUCAAGGAAAAUGGGUUUUAUUUUCCCAAAAUAGCAAAAUUCAAACAAUUAUUACAGGGUCCUUAAAAGAGGUCCAAUGAAAAAGGAUGGGGCAUCAGCUGAGUUGCUACUGCUAGUGACUUCAUGUUCUUUUGAAAAUCCAGUUCAUCCUGUCUUUUAGUGCAUAACUUCUUUUCUGUAUUCAGAGGCGAACAACUGCGAGGUCACUCUGUGCCUCCCCAUGCACCAGACCUAUGACAGCUUUGUGCACUACAUGGAGUCUGGCCUGAUACAGGCUCCAACGUUUGGAUUCCUUUAGAAUCAAACUUGAUUUACUUUUUUUUUUUUGUUGUUCUAGUGUGUGAGGUCAAAGGUUAGUUUCAUUGACAUCAGUUUACCUUUGUCUGCG